rnacentral:rRNA from 1 species
GCAGCCGCGGUAAUUCCAGCUCCAAUAGCGUAUAUUAAAGUUGUUGCAGUUAAAAAGCUCGUAGUUGAAUUUCGGGAUCAAUAUAUCGGUCGAGCCUCCGGUUCGUACUGGUAUCAUUGAUUUCUCCCUUCUGACGAACCAUGAUUUCAUUUAUUUGGUGUCAUGGGGAGUUAGGACUGUUACUUUGAAAAAAUUAGAGUGUUUAAAGCAGGCAUUAGCUUGAAUACAUUAGCAUGGAAUAAUGAAAUAGGACGUUUGACCUUAUUUUGUUGGUUUCUAGGAUCGACGUAAUGAUUAAUAGGGAUAGUUGGG